rnacentral:rRNA from 1 species
GGUUUCCUCUGGGGUAAGUGAUUGCUUCUACACUGUGAAAAUUUGGCUGAGAGACUCAGACUGGUCAUGGGUAGACCUAUCUGGGGUUUGAUCGAUGCCACUCCUGGUUUCAGGAGCACCCUUCAUAAUAAACCUAGAAAUUCAGUAUUAUAAAGUUUAAUAAAAAACAACUUUUAACAAUGGAUCUCUUGGUUCUCGCAUCGAUGAAGAACGUAGCAAAGUGCGAUAACUAGUGUGAAUUGCAUAUUCAGUGAAUCAUCGAGUCUUUGAACGCAGCUUGCACUCUAUGGUUUUUCUAUAGAGUACGCCUGCUUCAGUAUCAUCACAAACCCACACAUAACAUUUGUUUAUGUGGUAAUGGGUCGCAUCGCUGUUUUAUUACAGUGAGCACCUAAAAUGUGUGUGAUUUUCUGUCUGGCUUGCUAGGCAGGAAUAUUACGCUGGUCUCAGGAUCUUUUUCUUUGGUUCGCCCAGGAAGUAAAGUACAAGAGUAUAAUCCAGCAACUUUCAAACUAUGAUCUGAAGUCAGGUGGGAUUACCCGCUGAACUUAAGCAUAUCAAUA